rnacentral:lncRNA from 1 species
UUGGAUUACCCCAUGAACAUAGAAAUUGCGAAUAGAGAAAUAAUCCCUGUUAAGUACGUACAUAAGAAUUGUAGAGUGGAUAUUAAGGGUAAUAUCAUGAACGUAGAUCUUAUCCCUAUUCGACUUGGGGAAUUUGAUGUUAUAUUGGGAAUGGAUUGGUUAUUCAAUUACGGGGAUGUAAUUAAUUGCCAAAAGAAGCGUAUUAACCUUUUGACUCCGUCAAAGGUUGUGUUUUAUGGUAGCAAGUCGCCUAGACAAGCGAGUUGUCUGACGAUGAUGGAAGUUAUUA